GAUGAACGCUGGCGGCGUGCCUAAUACAUGCAAGUCGAGCGAACGGACGAGAAGCUUGCUUCCCUGAUGUUAGCGGCGGACGGGUGAGUAACACGUGGAUAACCUACCUAUAAGACUGGGAUAACUUCGGGAAACCGGAGCUAAUACCGGAUGAUAUUUUGAACCGCAUGGUUCAAAAGUGAAAGACGGUCUUGCUGUCACUUAUAGAUGGAUCCGCGCUGCAUUAGCUAGUUGGUAAGGUAACGGCUUACCAAGGCAACGAUGCAUAGCCGACCUGAGAGGGUGAUCGGCCACACUGGAACUGAGACACGGUCCAGACUCCUACGGGAGGCAGCAGUAGGGAAUCUUCCGCAAUGGGCGAAAGCCUGACGGAGCAACGCCGCGUGAGUGAUGAAGGUCUUCGGAUCGUAAAACUCUGUUAUUAGGGAAGAACAUAUGUGUAAGUAACUGUGCACAUCUUGACGGUACCUAAUCAGAAAGCCACGGCUAACUACGUG
rnacentral:rRNA from 1 species